CAGAGGGGAACAAGCUGUGGAUGGCUUCCCGAGUAGUACUACCAAUAGAAAUAACCAUUUGUAUACUAAUCUUAUCAGAAGAUGUCUGCACUCAUGGGCCGUCCCAUCCCUAGGUCUAAAAACUGACACCAUCCCAGACUGACUAAAUCAAAGAACCCUAAUGAGCACGCAACCCAGACUAUAUUAUGGCCAAUGCUCAGACAUUUGAGGCUCAAACCACAACUUUAUACCCAUGGUACUUGAAUUGGUUCCAUUAACAUAUUUCAAAAAAUGAUCAGCAUGUAUACUAUAAAAUCAUUAAGAAGCAAAAUAAGCAUUAACCUUUAAAGUUAAAGAUUGGGAAUUUAAAUCUCCCCUUAGUGAUAUGCCA